CCUACGGGAGGCAGCAGUGGGGAAUAUUGCACAAUGGGGGAAACCCUGAUGCAGCGACGCCGCGUGAAGGAAGAAGUAUUUCGGUAUGUAAACUUCUAUCAGCAGGGAAGAAAAUGACGGUACCUGACUAAGAAGCCCUGGCUAACUACGUGCCAGCAGCCGCGGUAAUACGCAGGGGGCAAGCGUUAUCCGGAUUUACUGGGUGUAAAGGGAGCGUAGGCGGUUUAGCAAGUCAGAAGUGAAAGCCCCGGGCUCAAAUCCGGGACUGCUUUUGAAACUGUUGCACUAGAUUGCAGGAGAGGUAAGUGGAAUUCCUAGUGUAGCGGUGAAAUGCGUAGAUAUUAGGAGGAACACCAGUGGCGAAGGCGGCUUUCUGGACUGAGACUGACGCUGAGGCACGAAAGCGUGGGGAGCGAACAGGAUUAGAUACCCCGGUAGUC
rnacentral:rRNA from 1 species